UUUAAUCGCACUAAGCGGAUCGAACAAAGCGAUCUUAGGAGAAGCAGAUCGUAUCUACGCAAAUUUUAUUUAAACGGAACGCAGUUUCCAACUGUGUUUGCGUCAUGCCAGUGGCACAUUGGAGCGUGAUCGAACCGGGGGGCUUUUUCACCCCGUCACGGUCCAGCGGGGCCAUCAGCCCCGCCCUUACCCCCGAUAAGUUCACCGACCCACGUGCUCGCGUGUGUCGCCUAUAAAAGCUCACUUAGCAUCAGCUUGCACAGCAAUGUUCCUCCGUGAUGGCUGACGAAGAGACGCCGCUCGGGGCCUCCGGAGGGACGUACCGCGGUUGCCGAUCGAACUAGGAAGUCGAGUAACGCCGAGGGGCACCGAUGGAUCGAGUUUAAGUCCUCCUCUCCUUGGGCUUCCAAAACUAGCCAUGGGAAUCGGGAGCCUGGUCGAUGGGACAAUUCAGGCGACGCAGCCGACGGCAGCAGCGUCGGAUCCAUCGGUCGGCCUUCCUCGAUCUCCGGCAACUCGCGAGUCGCAUUGAAACGCUCCAGCCUCAACCGUAUCUACCUCGUUAUCGGCCACACCUUCUUCCAACCGCGUGCCGGGCUUCGCGAAAACAAUCUCGGCCUUCUUGUUC